AAAAAAUGAUGAAAAGAAGGGUCAAGUGAGCCGCUGAGCACCAGAAUGGUCCGUUGAGCGCUCGGAGCGAUUAGAGGGAAACCGCUCAGCGGAAAAAUUGACCGCUGAGCGGUCAAAGCAGCACAAGGCAAACCGCUGAGCGGUGAAUUUAAGCGCCUGUGCAGUUGUCUUUUUUUUAGCUAGAUUCUGUAAAUCUUUCUGUAAUCUUUCUGUUAUCUUUUUGGGCUUAUAUAUAGCUCUAGUGCGAAUUAGAAAGGGAUUCUUUUGGCAGAGAGAAACGUCCAGAGCUAUU
rnacentral:lncRNA from 1 species